CUGUCCGGCAGAGGGACCUCCGUAUCUGCGGCGUCUUUUAAGUUAAAAAUCAAGAGGAUCCUAGUGUUUUUUGUUCUCGGCAGGGCGUUGAUACGAGACCCUUCAUUUUCAAGAUUGAUUUGAGGAUUACAAAGAUCGAAUCACAGUUGGAUCGUGCUCGUGGAGAAGCGGUUUUGUUCUUCUCAAGUGAAAGCCGAAGGAUUAAAAGCUCGAUGCGGGAGAGAAACCAGGACCAACGUCUUGGAAACUACCACCACCAUCUGGGGAUCCUCCUUUUUGGGACGCAUCCUGAGAAAAACUAAAUCGCAAUACUGUAUAGAAUUGUGAUGUCAAAACUGGAAAAUAGAAACUGCUGAGAAAGUUUAUGAGUACCCCUAUAAACACCUGUAAGUCCAAACUAUCAGUGUGCAAUUGGAGGGAAAACUUUCCCCACUGUCCCCAGCGCUGGAUUGCUCAUACUUUACCAUAUUAAUUAAUAAAUUGAUUGCUGCUUGAA